GAUGAACGCUGGCGGCGUGCCUAAUACAUGCAAGUCGAGCGAACAGACGAGGAGCUUGCUCCUCUGACGUUAGCGGCGGACGGGUGAGUAACACGUGGAUAACCUACCUAUAAGACUGGUAUAACUUCGGGAAACCGGAGCUAAUACCGUAUAAUAUAUUGAACCGCAUUGUUCAAUAGUGAAAUACGGUUUUGCUGUCACUUAUAGAUGGUUCCGCGCCGCAUGAGCGAGUUGGUAAGGUAACGGCUUACCAAGGCAACGAUGCGUAGCCGACCUGAGAGGGUGAUAGGCCGCACUGGAAGUGAGACAGGGUCCAGACUCCUACGGGAGGCAGCAGUAGGGAAUCUUACGCAGUAGGCGGAAGUCUGACGGAGCAACGCCGCGUGAGUGAUGAAGGUCUUCGGAUCGUAAAACUCUGUUACUAGGGAAGAACAAAUGUGUAAGUAACUAUGCACGUCUUGACGGUAACUAAUAAGAAAGCCACGGCUAACUACGUG
rnacentral:rRNA from 1 species